ACCCCCAAGCCUCUUAACAAUGCUCAAAUCGGGGGUC
rnacentral:sRNA from 12 species